UGAAAAGGAUGAAGUGGAUCCCCCCACUCUCUGGGUUUCCAGAAGUUCCCUGCAGAGAUUUAAUCCAACGCAGGAAGUUGAAUCAUUGCAAGAUACUAGAUAUGCCCACGGCAAACAUAAUACAUUACCACUAUAGUAGGUGAGGAAGGUAAUUGCUGCAAAACUUGAGCUAGCAAUUACAGAAGGCAAAAGAACACUUAGUUAAAUUCAGAAAGCGGGAAAAAAAAAAUCAACAUUAGCAACAAAUAUCAAAAGAUGCUAAUUGUGAGACUUUCUAGUCUGUUGUAGAACAGUUGAUGUUUGAACAGUUGUGGUGUGUCCCUAAUUACCUGUGACUUGAACAAUUAAAAAUUCAAGUUACAAUUGCCCAAAUCCACUCUUAGUACAAGAUUCAAGAGACACCAGUCCAAAACCCUGGUGACUAAACAGACAAGUGAUAUUUCACUGAAGAAAAUAAAAUGUUGCUGCACCUAUCAGGAUAUUCAGGGGACCAGAUAAUAGGCAUGAGGGUCCACACCCCACAGAUUCCACUCUCCACAAAGCCCCAACAUGCAGGUUUACUUGGACUGGGCUAGGUCAAAUCACCAGAUCUGAACCUAAGGGCAACCAACUUUUUUACUUGUAGUCAAGCACUCAGAAACACAAGUAUCUCAUACAAGAAACUAAAUACGAUAAUGAAGAGGAUGAGUUAUGCAGUUGCAGAUUGUACCGUCAGAUCUCCAAAAAGUUGUAUUAUAUCUUGUGUUAUACUUAAGAUACGUAUUCUGUGAGUGUAAUUGUUAUUUAGCUUUAACCUAUAAAGAAAAUGGCACCCUAAAUUCUAAUGCAUGAGCCUCUCACACAAUGGGGGUCAAAUAUACCCAACUUGUCCCCUACUUUAAAGAGAGGCUUAUCUUUAUGACUAAAACUUAUCAUCUCCAAGUCAUUAUGGAGCAACCUUAUUGAUGCACCAAGGUGCACAUUUUAAGAAGUGCGACAUGAGGCCUUGAGGUCACUUGUUAAGACUCUAUUUGGUAUUGUUGCUGAAAGUGUAGUUUAAAAAAGCACCUUCUUAAAUAUAUUAGUUAAAGGGUAUUAAAAAUUGAUUUAAAAUUAAAUCUGAUGUAUUUUAGUCAUGAUAGUAUCAAAAUACCAAAAUUACUUUCCAAACUUUUUUUCCAAUAGCAUGUAAAAUGUUUCUUUUCUGAAAAUCGCUUUUUGGAUCCUCAUUCUCAAUGCCAAAUGGGGCUUUAAACUGAGCCCUCACUCUGAAAAGGUAAGGAGAUUUCAAAAAAGCAUCUAGAUGUCGAAAGGUAAAGAAGCGAGGAGGGUGGAAAGGGGGAGUUCGUCUUCCUGGAGAACAUAAUAUGUCAUUUGUUGAUUCAUGUCAUUAAAAUAGAAUGCAUCACUGCCCGCAUGAUCUUCAUUGCUUCUUUAGUUAUGUUUACUUGAUUUUUUGUGCGGUAGUCAUAUGUGUUUUAUUUUUCAAGGCUUACCAUGAGGAUAAUCAGUGACUUUAUAAUAUCACCAAAAAAUUGAUGUUUAGUGUAAGAGUUGAAUAAGAACUAUUAUUUGAGUCAUGCUUUUGAUAGUUCCAUAUGUUAAAACGUUUUCAACUUCCUAAUGGUGUUAGUCAUAUGCAUUCUACUGCCUUUUGAGCAAGGCUUAAUAGGAACAUUAUGGAGCUUGAUUGAAGGCAGAUUUGAAUAAUUCAAAAUAUUUUGUCUUAACAAUUUUCUUACUGGGUUCAGGAUCGACCUUCAACCAAAGUCCACGCUGCCCCUGGUGGUGGAUCUUCUCUGGGGUACCUCUUUGGUGGUGGUAGUAACUGAGAUAUACCUAAAUCCCAUCCUGAUGGAAGUUCUGUUUUUUCAAUUCUUGUGGGAACCUUUAGUUUGGAUGAAGCAACGCAUUCAUCUAUAAUGCAAUUAAGCAAACUUGCUGGAUCAUGCGAUGUAAUAUAUAGAUGGUGGUGGUGUUUUGUUAAUUCAAUCAAAGAGCAUUUUAUAUGCAUGAACAUCUGUUACAAUCGUGUUCUCAGCAAUAUUUUGCUUUGCAGAGCGAUCUUGGCUCCUUGCGGUAGAUUGGCUUCCUUUUUGUGGAUUCAUGAUGAUGUUGGUUGGGGUUUUCGUUUGUUAGAAAAUUUUUUGUGACAAGAAUGGUGUGCUUAAAUUGAUAAUGGAGACGAGGAACUGAAUCUGAAAGAGCACAAGGCAGGUGAAUUGAAGGGUAAUUAAAUCGUAUGAAGAGUUAAAUACCAUUUGGGAGUCUGCCAUACUAUUCACGACAAGUGGCAAAUGUAAACAAUAGCUAGGCCUUGAUCUAGUAACGCUGGUAUUAGCGGUAGCUAAAGCGGGGGUGGGCCAUGGUCCGGGCUGGGCCUAGAACUGAAUCAGGACAGACUCGGUUAAUAUGAGGAUAGAAAGCGUCAAUGAUUUUUAGGCUCGAGCCCGGACUGAAAUCAUCACAAAGGGGGCUGGCCAUGGUUCUCCCCCAACCUUUGAAUUGCUUUGGAACCGUCAAUUUGAUUCAAUUUAGUUUAGAUUUUUUAAAAAAUUAAUUAUGUGGCG
rnacentral:misc_RNA from 1 species